rnacentral:rRNA from 1 species
UGCAAGUCGAACGAGUUCUGAUUAUUGAAGGGUGCUUGCAUCUUGAUUUAAUUUUGAACGAGUGGCGGACGGGUGAGUAACACGUGGGUAACCUGCCCUUAAGUGGGGGAUAACAUUUGGAAACAGAUGCUAAUACCGCAUAAAUCCAAGAACCGCAUGGUUCUUGGCUGAAAGAUGGCGUAAGCUAUCGCUUUUGGAUGGACCCGCGGCGUAUUAGCUAGUUGGUGAGGUAACGGCUCACCAAGGCAAUGAUACGUAGCCGAACUGAGAGGUUGAUCGGCCACAUUGGGACUGAGACACGGCCCAAACUCCUACGGGAGGCAGCAGUAGGGAAUCUUCCACAAUGGACGCAAGUCUGAUGGAGCAACGCCGCGUGAGUGAAGAAGGCUUUCGGGUCGUAAAACUCUGUUGUUGGAGAAGAAUGGUCGGCAGAGUAACUGUUGUCGGCGUGACGGUAUCCAACCAGAAAGCCACGGCUAACUACGUGCCAGCAGCCGCGGUAAUACGUAGGUGGCAAGCGUUAUCCGGAUUUAUUGGGCGUAAAGCGAGCGCAGGCGGUUUUUUAAGUCUGAUGUGAAAGCCCUCGGCUUAACCGAGGAAGUGCAUCGGAAACUGGGAAACUUGAGUGCAGAAGAGGACAGUGGAACUCCAUGUGUAGCGGUGAAAUGCGUAGAUAUAUGGAAGAACACCAGUGGCGAAGGCGGCUGUCUGGUCUGUAACUGACGCUGAGGCUCGAAAGCAUGGGUAGCGAACAGGAUUAGAUACCCUGGUAGUCCAUGCCGUAAACGAUGAAUGCUAGGUGUUGGAGGGUUUCCGCCCUUCAGUGCCGCAGCUAACGCAUUAAGCAUUCCGCCUGGGGAGUACGACCGCAAGGUUGAAACUCAAAGGAAUUGACGGGGGCCCGCACAAGCGGUGGAGCAUGUGGUUUAAUUCGAAGCAACGCGAAGAACCUUACCAGGUCUUGACAUCUUUUGAUCACCUGAGAGAUCAGGUUUCCCCUUCGGGGGCAAAAUGACAGGUGGUGCAUGGUUGUCGUCAGCUCGUGUCGUGAGAUGUUGGGUUAAGUCCCGCAACGAGCGCAACCCUUAUGACUAGUUGCCAGCAUUUAGUUGGGCACUCUAGUAAGACUGCCGGUGACAAACCGGAGGAAGGUGGGGAUGACGUCAAAUCAUCAUGCCCCUUAUGACCUGGGCUACACACGUGCUACAAUGGAUGGUACAACGAGUUGCGAGACCGCGAGGUCAAGCUAAUCUCUUAAAGCCAUUCUCAGUUCGGACUGUAGGCUGCAACUCGCCUACACGAAGUCGGAAUCGCUAGUAAUCGCGGAUCAGCACGCCGCGGUGAAUACGUUCCCGGGCCUUGUACACACCGCCCGUCACACCAUGAGAGUUUGUAACACCCGAAGCCGGUGGCGUAACCCUUUUAGGGAGCGAGCCGUCU